GACGAACGCUGGCGGCGUGCCUAAUACAUGCAAGUAGAACGCUGAAGGAGGAGCUUGCUCUUUCCGGAUGAGUUGCGAACGGGUGAGUAACGCGUAGGUAACCUGCCUGGUAGCGGGGGAUAACUAUUGGAAACGAUAGCUAAUACCGCAUAAUAGCAGUUAUUGCAUGAUAACUGUUUGAAAGGUGCAAAUGCACCACUACCAGAUGGACCUGCGUUGUAUUAGCUAGUUGGUGAGGUAACGGCUCACCAAGGCGACGAUACAUAGCCGACCUGAGAGGGUGAUCGGCCACACUGGGACUGAGACACGGCCCAGACUCCUACGGGAGGCAGCAGUAGGGAAUCUUCGGCAAUGGACGGAAGUCUGACCGAGCAACGCCGCGUGAGUGAAGAAGGUUUUCGGAUCGUAAAGCUCUGUUGUAAGAGAAGAACGAGUGUGAGAGUGGAAAGUUCACACUGUGACGUAUCUACCAG
rnacentral:rRNA from 1 species